rnacentral:rRNA from 1 species
CCUACGGGAGGCAGCAGUGAGGAAUAUUGGUCAAUGGGCUUACGCCUGAACCAGCCAAGUCGCGUGAGGGAAGACUGCCCUAUGGGUUGUAAACCUCUUUUGUCAGGGAGCAACGCCGGCUACGUGUAGCCGGACUGAGAGUCCCUGAAGAAAAAGCAUCGGCGAGCUCGGUGCCGGCAGCCGCGGUAAUGCGGGGGAUGCGAGCGUUGGCCGGAGUUAUUGGGUUUAAAGGGUGCGUAGGCGGAAUGCCAAGUCAGCGGUAAAAUCGCGGGGCUCAACCUCGCUCCGCCGUUGAAACUGGCGUUCUUGAGUGGGCGAGAAGUAUGCGGAAUGCGUGGUGUAGCGGUGAAAUGCAUAGAUAUCACGCAGAACUCCGAUUGCGAAGGCAGCAUACCGGCGCCCAACUGACGCUGAAGCACGAAAGCGUGGGUAUCGAACAGGAUUAGAUACCCUUGUAGUC